AUGUUAAAACAAAAUUGAAGAGCACAAUUUUCACUUCUUCUCUCUCCAACCUAAACACGUUUUCUUUUUCGCUCCGAGUUCUUCAAGAAACGGCCAUGGCUUAUGUUCAUCUCAAAACUCAAUCAACAAUCACGAAAUGGAUCCAGUUCGAUUCGUUUUUCACUGUCGACGAAUGUCCAUUCUCCAAUCUUUCAAAAUUCACAACAUAACGCUUAAUUUCAGAGCAAACAAAGAAAACCUAGAAGCUUAAGGAACGAAAUUAAAUGGCAUACAUCAAUGGUGACAAGCAAUAAUAGUGGGGAUAUUAACCAAUAUUGGUGUAAAGAAAAGGCGGAAAACAAAGCAUCACUAACCUCGUCGGAGCAAAUCCGACGGCCCUUUCGUCUCCGGCGACCUUCAGUCGGUGAUGUUAAUAUGAGUCGUAGGUUUGUGGCGUUGUCGAUGAGCGAUGGAUGUAGUCGACAGUUGUUCAGUGUUGAGAGCUUCCAUCUGAUGCCUGUUGCGAUUCAGAGCCACCAACGAAUCCAUUCUCUGCGAUUCGAACAAUUCUGCGCUUGAGUUGAUUGAUUUGCAUUGAUGCCAAUGUUGUGGCUUGCGCAUCCCGAACUGCCGUGUCGUGCUGAAGAAUCGAGGCUGAAAAGAGCGGCUUUGUCUUCCGAUUCUCCCUCUUCUUUUUCUACAAAUCUGUAACAGGAAAUCGAAUAAACAAUGAUGAACGAAUAUCACAAACUGCUGUUGCUCACUUUUGAUUUCGUAUGUUAUGCUUAUGGUGUAACAAGUUGAUAAUACAAUAAAAUUAUUGAUUUGAAUUUGUACA